UCCGGUGUGGUCUAGUGGCUAGGAUACCUGGCUUUCACCCAGGAGGCCCGGGUCAGAUUCCCGGUACCGGAA
rnacentral:tRNA from 1 species